rnacentral:rRNA from 1 species
GACGAACGCUGGCGGCGUGCUUAACACAUGCAAGUCGAACGAAGUGGCGAACGGGUGAGUAACGCGUAAUCAACCUGCCCUUCAGAGGGGGACAACAGUUGGAAACGACUGCUAAUACAGAAUACUGAAGGAGGGGAUUGCGUCUGAGUGGCUAGUUGGCGGGGUAACGGCCCACCAAGGCGAUGAUCAGUAGCCGGGCUGAGAGGAUGAACGGCCACAUUGGGACUGGGACACGGCCCAGACUCCUACGGGAGGCAGCAGGUGGGAAUCUUCCGCAAUGGACGAAAGUCUGACUGAGCAAAGCCGCGUGAGUGAUGACGGCCUUCGGGUUGGAAAGCUCUUUUAAUCGGGACGCGGUACCGGAAUAGAAAGCCACGGCUAACUACGUGCCAGCCGCCGCGGUAAUAC